rnacentral:rRNA from 1 species
GACGAACGCUGGCGGCGUGCUUAACACAUGCAAGUCGAACGGAAAGGCCCUGCUUUUGUGGGGUGCUCGAGUGGCGAACGGGUGAGUAACACGUGAGUAACCUGCCCUUGACUUUGGGAUAACUUCAGGAAACUGGGGCUACUACCGGAUAGGAGCUCCUGCUGCGUGGUGGGGGUUGGAACGUUUCGGCGUUUGUGGAUGGACUGGCGGCUUAUCAGCUUGUUGGUUGGGUAGGGGCUUACCAAGGCUGUGACGGGUAGCCGGCCUGGGAGGGGGAACGGCCACCUUGGGACUGCGAGACGGAGCAGACUCGUACGGGAGGCAGCAGUGGGGAAUAUGGCACAAUGGGCGGAAGCCUGAGGCAGCAACGCUGCGUGCGGGAUGACGGCUUUCGGGUUGAAAACAGCUUUCGCAUGUGACGAAGCGUGAGUGACGGUAAUGGGUAAAGAAGCACCGGCUAACUACGUG